GAUGAACGCUGGCGGCGUGCCUAAUACAUGCAAGUCGAGCGAAUGGAUUAAGAGCUUGCUCUUAUGAAGUUAGCGGCGGACGGGUGAGUAACACGUGGGUAACCUGCCCAUAAGACUGGGAUAACUCCGGGAAACCGGGGCUAAUACCGGAUAACAUUUUGAACCGCAUGGUUCGAAAUUGAAAGGCGGCUUCGGCUGUAACUUAUGGAUGGACCCGCGUCGCAUUAGCUAGUGGGUGAGGUAACGGCUCACCAAGGCAACGAUGCGUAGCCGACCUGAGGGGGUGAUCGGCCACACUGGGACUGGGACACGGCCCAGACUCCUACGGGAGGCAGCAGUAGGGAAUCUUCCGCAAUGGACGAAAGUCUGACGGAGCAACGCCGCGUGAGUGAUGAAGGCUUUCGGGUCGUAAAACUCUGUUGUUAGGGAAGAACAAGUGCUAGUUGAGUAAGCUGGCACCUUGACGGUACCUAACCAGAAAGCCACGGCUAACUACGUGCCAGCCGCCGCGGUAA
rnacentral:rRNA from 1 species